CCCUUAGAUGUCCUGGGCCGCACGCGCGUUACACUGAUGCAUUCAACGAGCUUAUAACCUUGGCCGAGAGGCCUGGGCAAUCUUGUUAACGUGCAUCGUGAUAGGGAUAGAUUAUUGAAAUUAUUAAUCUUGAACGAGGAAUUCCUAGUAAACGCAGAUCAUCAAUCUGCAUUGAUUACGUCCCUGCCCUUUGUAAACACCGCCCGUCGCACCUACCGAUUGGAUGGUCCGGUGAAGCCUCGGGAUUGUGGUUCUUGCCGCUUUAUUGUGGCGUGACCGCGAGAACUUGUCUAAACCUUAUCAUCUAGAGGAAGGUGAAGUCGUAACA
rnacentral:rRNA from 1 species